UGUGAACCCUCCUGCAGUCCAGUUUUGGGUUGCAGAUCAGAGCUAGAGGUUUCCAGCUCCUGAAGCUGCUGAUUGCCUUUCCCAGCUUGCUGAAGUUCCUGAAGUGCUGAAAAGAGUUGCUGGGGGGAUGUUUAUAAAAUCAAAAUAUCCUAAAGUGGAGAGGACCUGCAGGGAUCAUCGAGUCCAGCUCCUGGUCCUGCUCAGGACACCCCAACAAUCCCACCCGGUGCCUGGGAUGGUUUUCCAAGCUCUUCUUGGACUCUGGCAGGCUUGUGCCAUGAACAAUUCCUUGGGGAAUCUGUUCCAGCACCCGACCACCCACUGGGGAAGAGUAUUCUGCCAACAAAUGACCUCGAUGGGCCAAGAAGAGGCACUUCCAGAGGUCCUGGUAUUUGAAACGAAAGCACAAGGCAGUAAUUCCUGUGUCAGUGUUUUUACAACAGGACAAAGAAAUAAAGUUCCUUGGUGUUACAGAGGAAACGAGGAAAUAAAGAACAAGAAAUCUCCUUAUUUCUUCCACGCUCGUGUUGAAAGGGGUAUGAAGUUGUGAUGGGGAAGUAAUCACUCCAAAGCACAGCAACCUCGAGGAGUUUUAUGCUUGACCCUUCUCGUUGUCAUACUCCAUUGCUAACUCAGCUGGACCGAAUGCAGAAAACCAAAUCCCAGAUUAUUCUGAGUUGGAAGGGACCCAGCAGGAUCAUCAAAGUCCAGCUCCUGAAAAUCCUACAAGACCUGUGGAAUGGGGGAGGAAUUGUGGACUUGGCUGAGCAAAGAGACAAAGAGAGGCCGUCCUAAACUUUGGGCUCUUGGGCUGAGGGUUGUCACUAUAGGACACAAAAUAAUAUGAUGUGGAUGUGCAGCUUUUUCAAGGUGAAAAAAGAAUUUUUGAUUUUUAAUUCUAAUAUUUAUAGAUUUUUAGAAGUGACAGUGGACUGGAGGGUGACAGUGCCACCUCUCCAAUGACACUGCACAAACCAACAGUCCAUCAAAUUUUUCUUCUUCUAUAAAAGAAUGCAGAAUAAUAAGCUAUUUAUAUAAAGUGUGUGAGAAAGUUUGUUAUAGGACUGUAAACAUCAGAAGGCUUUGAAAAACGUAGAAAUCAGGGUGACAGAGGGUGGCCAAUGUCACAAGCUGAGUGGUGUCCUGGGUGUCUCAUAUCCUGAAUAUCUCAUAUCCUGAAUAUCUCAUACCCCGAGUCCUGAGUUCUACUGUUCAGUGUGAGGAAAUACCUUACUGACAGGUUCAAAAAAUGUAUCCCCCAAAAUGAUGUUUUUCUAGAAAUUACUUGUUUGGGGUUUUGUUUAGUCAAAACUUGAGCAAUCUGUGAAUAAUUCUUCCUUCUCAGCUGGGCUUGGUCUCCACCUGCUCCUGAGAUGCUCUUUCAGGCAGUAGAACAGGGCAGGAGCUUUGCAGGAGCGGAGGCAAAGAACUGAUGGGAGUUUUCAC
rnacentral:lncRNA from 1 species